AAGCAAUUGUGCUUACACCUUGAUUAUUACUGUAAUAAUUUAUUUAAGUGCCCCAAGUAGUUUUAAGAGGCUGUGAAUAGACGACCUCGUCUAGUCAAGCAUUACCCAUUAAAAAUAAAUAAAUAAGUAAAUAAAUAAAUAAAAACAGGAAAUCGUAAUGAAAUACAAGUAAUUUGUAUUUACAUCUUGUUUAAUGAAUAUUCACAAAGUGCUGUGUGGUUAAGUGAUUGCAAAGCCACUGAAUUUUAGUCAUAAUUCUAACCGUUUUCCUUAAAUUGCAAUACGAUUUUAUUAUUUUAAGUUUAUGCAUAUACAUAUAAAACAAAUAUCUCCAGUCACCAUUUGAAGUCUGAGUUGGGUGUAGAUUGCCAAAACUGUGCUGCCAAGAUGUUGUAACAAAUCUCGCGAUAGGAUAGAUUAUCUCGCGAUGGGAUAGAUUAUCUCGCAAUACAAUACAUUAUCUCGCGAGAAAGCUUUAACACGUUUUUAUCUUUCCAUAACCACAAGGAGAGCGCGUUGUUGUGUUGCAAAGCUUUACGAAUUAUUAAAAAAUCUACUGGUGGUGGAUGCACAACAUGACACCAUCAACGUCAACAACACUCGUGGACCCGUGGACACAUGUUGAGGUGGUCACAUAACGAACAGCCAUCUGUCAGGCCAUGUGCCACAACCGAACAAGUAUUGUCUCCAGUCCCAAAUGCUUCAUUGCCAUCCCAGUCCCAGAGGACCCCCCAGUAUGCUCUGAAGAGGUGGAGUCCAACUGCCACAGACUCCAAAAUUGAUGCAUCAAUGGCGGAACACCUAAAACACGCUCCAGGAAGAGCUGGGGGUGGUGGUUAUAAGAAAUAAGCUGUUUUGAGAGACAUUUACAUGUGUGUUUACAUUAAUCCAGUAUUUUUGUUUUAUACUUGUUUGAUUUAUAGCUGUUUAAAAUUAAUGCAAAACUGUUUAAAUUAAAAAAAUUGAGUACUGCCACAAUAAUAAUGCUUCUGGAAGAGCAGGUGCUUGUGGAGCAACAAAAUGAUAGUAAACAUUUUGGAAUAAUGAUAAAUAAAUAAAAGAUUAUAAAUAUA